GGUGGCUUAGUGGUAGAGCGCUUGCCUUGUAUGCAUAAGGCCCUGGGUUCCAUUCCUCAGCACCA
rnacentral:tRNA from 1 species